GCGGAGGAAGUGCUCAUUCUGGCGUGCCCUGUUGCCGCGAGAAUCCUGCGGAAACCGCGAUGCAAGUUUCUGGGGUAGAUGGGCUGGCUUUCAAUCCCAACCUCGCGAGAGUUGGAGCUGGAGUGGCUGAGACCUAGUUGUAGCGGUCGGACUUCCUCUGGUAACGUCUGCUAGCUGCGACUUAGUGGCAGACAUCCUGUUUCCUUUUAACGACACUGAGCUUCUACUACGCAUGUGAGGAUCACUGGUAGACACUACAGUGAUUGGAAACGAGUCGUCCUGUCGCUGAAUGUUCAACAGCUAAUUGUGAUUUUGGUGUUCUCACAGGAGGAGAUAAGUGCAUGUCCUUCUACUCUGCCGUCUUGGAGAAUGAUGAUUUAGAUAGUGGUACUUUGAAUAGGAAGAGGCUGGUUGUUGCAU